CCCCGCUACAAUUGCUGACAUAGUUAUGGAACAUGCAUGUGGAAGAAACUGCAAUUUCUACAGCACCACAUCCCCCACGGUGGUGGUUCAGAUAUGUCGACGAUAGCCAUUCCUGUCUGAAGAAAACCCAGGUGAACGAAUUUCAUAACCACCUCAAUUCUAUAAACCCAUAUUUACAAUUCACCAUCGAACUGGAAGAAAACCGACGCCUCCCAUUCCUGGAUACCGUGACUAUCCGCUCUAACGGCAAAGUAGAAGUGGAUAUAUACAGAAAACCAACUCACACAGACAAAUACCUGCACUACGACUCACACCAUCCCAUGCAACACAAACCGUCGGUCCUAAAUAUACUCUCCUCGACAGAGCUGAGAAAAUUCCCUCGUCCAACAAAGGAAAACGCAGAGAAAGAAAACAUGUAUUCAAAGUCUUGAGAGACAACGGUUACCCAUUUAUUUAAGUUUAUAAAGUCUUACGAUAUCAAGAGAAUUACGCCGUCAUACUGAUAACACCAAUGCUAAUUUGCACACCUCUGAUGUCAGUAACAACAGGGCAAACCCCGCAGAUUGUGUUGCUCCCAGUUUUGUAGUCUUACCGUAUGUCAAAGGCGUUGCAGAAAAGAUCUCCCGAGUAUUAAGGAGAGAAAAUAUCAAAGUGUGCUAUAAACCUACCAGUACCCUUUCCCACCAAUUCCCCAAACCCAAAGACAAGUUACCACACAAGCAGAGAAGCGGAGUCAUUUACAAGAUCUGUUGCUGCGAUUGUGACUUUGUGUAUUACGGCCAAACAGACAGAGCACUGAAAACUAGAAUAAGAGAACACGAACGAGCUGUUUCGCAAUUCGACCAAUAUUCAAAAGUCGCUAUAAGCAUGCCGAACAAUACGACCAUCGAAUUGACUUCAGCAAUGCCACCAUUGUCAACAAGACAAAGAACUAUCGCGAACGUUUGUUCUUAGAGGCUUGGUAUUCCCUCAAGGAUCAUAACGCAAGAAACCACCAUGUCGAGAUACCAGAUGUGUAUAAAAUACUUAUCUGCUAGUUAACUCUGAACCUUUAUAUAUUGUUCAGUUUUGAACCUAGUUAACUUUUUAACUGACGAAGACCUAAGUCACUGGUCGAAACGUCUUAACAUCUUUUUAAAUAAACG